rnacentral:lncRNA from 1 species
UUUUAGGAACGCCCCUUCUUUCCUCUUCUCCUUAACAAGGAGAUUCAGAGGAGAACUCACAAACAAGAGGUUGCCUUCUGUCCAGCCCUAGUAUGAGGCUUGCUGUAGGCUGUUAUGUAAGGAGCAAUUGCGUUCCCUGUAUAUUUUAUUUCCAACUGCAUCACUGGAAAGAGAGGCGUCGAUUGUGAGAUUUGUUAGGAUUCCUUCAGAUGCCCCAGAGAAGGGAGUGAACACUGUCUUCAGUGUCCUGGAGCUGAAACAAUGAGGAGAGAACACAGGACAGGCAAAUGAAAGCUGAACGCAGACUGGCAGAAGAAGGACUGGCUUGUGGAAGAGCAAUCGGUGAGGCAGCCGAGGACACAUGCGCAGUUAACCUUUCCAAAAAAACAUGGUCGUGGAAGGAAGAGCCAGAGUUUCUGCAAACCUAGAGGACAGGGCUGCUGAGAAGCUAAAGCUCUGACGGUGGAGAUGGUUUUGCUCAGACAAACUUUAUUACCAGCACCAAUGAGGGGAACCGAGAAUUCUGAGCCACUGUAGCUGACAUCACAGAACUCCAGCUGCUCUGUGGACUGUAUCCUUUUCUACCUCUGUCCUUAAAAGCUAUUGGAGCCCUUAUUAAAAAAAAAAAAACUGCUGCUGUGUACUUAGAGAGCAACUCUUAUUUCGAGUGAUUCUUUUACCUGAUAAGGCAUUUGGAUAUUUAUUCCUCUAACUCGACUCCAAUCCCCCUAUCUUUUUCGUGUUUUCCCAGGUAAAGAGGAAAAAUCUCCAAUCCACUCCCAUCUGUUUGCCUCAUCCAGCAGAGCUUCCAGGCCACAGAAGGCUCAAGACUACAAUAUAAUUCCUGAGACUGCCAAGACCUUGGGUGCUGAUGGCUUCUCGUGGAUGAGGAGAAAACAACAGGACCACUGGAUUAGGGCUUGUUACAGCCCAACUCUCCCGCUUCUUGCUUCUUGCUUCUUGCUUCUUACUAAAUAAUGGAUCAAUGACUGCCCGGCAGAAUUAGCCUUUCAAUUGACUUUUGUCUUUCGCCCAUCAUUUUCAAAGCUCAUCUCCCAUGGGGAAGACUGAAAGAAGGAGUCUACACUGAGGGAACAGAAGUCCUCUUGUGGCUUGAGGUUGCUUUAUUCUACUGCCCAAGGAAGGACAACAGGGACCCCUGUGCACUUCGCUUGGUUAUGACAAAAUUUCCAUUCUUCUAGCCUUUGUUUUGUCCCAUGGUAGCCUAUAUAUCAUAUCUAUAGAGCAUAGAGGCAUAAGCCCCCCCUUUGCUGUAAUUGGCCUAAAAGUCUUCACAUGAAGAGCCAUCAGCUCAUAUUUGCAUGCUCCAUUUACUCCAAUAAUGUCUUCCACAUUAUUGUUUUACAAUUAAUUUCAUAAUUAAUAAGGUUGCAAUUUAGAAUCCUUAUAAAAGUACAGGGAGAGGUUUAGAGAUGAAACUGUUCAAAACAGUACCGUAUGUAUUUUAGCUUCACUGGAGCAAAGAGGAAAUUGCCUGUUUCUUCCAGCUUGUUUCAGUGUCCUAGGGCAGGGGCAGAAUGUAAGUGAUCACGAAGUGCUUUUGCUUAUUGCCACUUGGAAACUGGCAAUACUGCUGUGAAGAGAUGAAUAUCAGUUCCAAGCAAGAGGCUGGGUAGUUUCCUUCUGUAAUCCCACACCAGUGUGUGAGUCAGAGUUAGAACCAGAAUCGUUCUAAAGGCGAAUUUGUGCAUCUGAAGCAACCUCAUGUUAUACCCAUUUGGUGAUUCAUGACAGAGAUGGAGUCUCAUUAAUAAGGAUUAUUUAUCCAAAGCCUUACUAAAAGCAUGUGAAACAGCUUUAAGACAGGACCUCAGGUAGCCCAGGCUAUUGUGGAGCUCACUCUGUGGCCAAUCAAGAUCUCCUAAUUUUCCUGUCUCAGCUCCCAAAUGCUGACACUUUAGAUAUGCAACACCAUGUUCAGGUUGAAAAACAAAAUCUUAUUAAAUAAAUUACUUAUGUCGAAAUCUUCUGUAUAACACGUGUGCCCAGUACCCAAGAAAGCCAGAAGAGGAUAUCAGAACCCCUGGACUGGCAUUACAGACAGUCCUUUUCCAUCACCUCAGUACUGAGAACUGAACCUCAGUCCUCUGAAAGAGUAGCUAGUGCUCUUAACUGCUGAGACAUCUCUCCAGCCCCCAGAAGACCACGAGAGAAUGCCUACAAGUCACCAAGUGAAAGGCAUCUCUGCUCCUGGUUUGACACUUACAGUCUAGAAAGUUUCCAUGUGUGAUGAACAGGACCUCUGUCUCCCCUUGGGAGCUUAAGCGAGCUGUGGUAGACCACAAGAACCAAUGGAAAUACCUCAUCCUAUUUAUGCUGGAUCACAUUUCACCAUUUCUGACAGAUGCAGCUUUGGGGAAGAAUAUUAACGACCAUGGGGGACACAGUAGUUGUUUGGAGACACCCGCAAUAAAUAGCCAAGAACUAUUUCA